GGUAAUUCUGUUAGGCCAUACGCUGAGAUCGCAGUCGACAUCGUUGCGCGUUGCAGCUGCAGUCGUAGCUGUGUCAUUAACCACAACAACUUUUGCGGGCAGGUCAAUGGGGGCGUGGUUUACAUUGAUUUAUUUUUAUACUAUUGCCGUUGAGUAUAUUGUACAGGGUAUGCCUAAAAAGGUCAAUCAAAAAAUCUGAAUUAGUCUAUUGAUCCUUAUAUCAAGAACUAUGAACUAGUUCUCAGCAUUUCAAUGCGUUACAAAUAUUCAUACUUAUCGAUUUGGCAGAAGUCAUCGAUAAGUGUAUAUAAAAGGAUUAUCUUAUGCAUUUUCAAUGCUAUUUAUUUAAUGUUAUCAAUUUUUUUAUUGCAGAGUAUCAGGUUUCUCUUCCACUCCGUCAAUCCUACAUGGCUUAACAUGUUUCUGUUAUUGUUGUUGCCAGCGGAAAGCAAAAGUUCAAAAACAUUUGAAAUGUUUGUCAAUGGAAAGUCGAAAAUUAGCAAAGCGUGAAUUACAAUUAAAAACAUACACAACUACUUUUACAUAUCGUAUUUUCUCUUAUAUUAAAUGAAAUGUAAAAUCGACCACUUAUCACGAGGAGGGCCCACUGUAGCUAUUUAUGUAUGUGUGCGUGACGCACUACAAUGUGGACGAGGUGACGAUCGGCAAGGGUCGUCGAGUUUCGAGCAUUAAUCACAGCAAAUAAUGUGUGAAUGUCCCACAUGCAUAUAUCUAUGAUCUACAUAGCCGGAAUACGGCUUCG
rnacentral:sRNA from 1 species